rnacentral:rRNA from 1 species
GAGCGCCGUAGCAAUACGGAGCGGCAGACGGGAGAGUAACACGUGGGAACGUACCCCUCGGUUCGGAAUAACUCAGGGAAACUUGAGCUAAUACCGGAUACGUCGGCAACGAGAAAGAUUUAUCGCCGAGGGAUCGGCCCGCGUCCGAUUAGCUAGUUGGUGAGGUAAUGGCUCACCAAGGCGACGAUCAGUAGCUGGUCUGAGAGGAUGAUCAGCCUCACUGGGACUGAGACACGGCCCAGACUCCUACGGGAGGCAGCAGUGGGGAAUAUUGGACAAUGGGCGCAAGCCUGAUCCAGCCAUGCCGCGUGGGUGAUGAAGGCCUUAGGGUUGUAAAGCCCUUUCGGCGGGGAAGAUAAUGACGGUACCCGCAGAAGAAGCCCCGGCUAACUUCGUG